rnacentral:misc_RNA from 1 species
GUAGGUGAACCUGCGGAAGGAUCAUUAUAAAGCUGGGUCGCAUAGAGGCGGCCGGAUGGAUUUUUACAUUGAUUUUUUUUUUUCGUUCGUUAGCGUGAUUUUUGGUUCCGAUUUUGCUUUUUUUUGCAAGGUAAGAGAACAAAGGUUGGUUUUAACCCCUUUCCCCCCGUUCUCUAUUUUUUUCGGUUCCAAAAAAAACAAUAAAAUUUAAAAGGAUGAGAAAAAAAAAAAAAAAUAAUCCUCCCCCGACGCACUUAUCGAAAGAACUUUUUAACCAAACCUUUUGACUAAAUUUUUGACUGACCUUUACUUUUAACGAGUAAAAAAACUUAAUACAACUUUCAACAACGGAUCUCUUGGCUCUC